rnacentral:rRNA from 1 species
GUUUAGGCCAGCAUCGAUUUCUGUAGGGGGAUAAAGACUUCGGGAAAGUAGCUCUCUUCGGGGAGUGUUAUAGCCCGCUGUGUAAUACCCUUGCGGGGAUCGAGGUUCGCGCUCUGCAAGGAUGCUGGCAUAAUGGUCAUCAGUGACCCGUCUUGAAACACGGACCAAGGAGUCGAACAUUUAUGCGAGUGUUUGGGUGUUAAACCCUCACGCGUAAUGAAAGUGAACGGAGGUGAGAGCCCUUAAGGGUGCAUCAUCGACCGAUCCUGAUGUCUUCGGAUGGAUUUGAGUAAGAGCAUAACUGUUCGGACCCGAAAGAUGGUGAACUAUGCGUGGAUAGGGUGAAGCCAGAGGAAACUCUGGUGGAGGCUCGCAGCGGUUCUGACGUGCAAAUCGAUCGUCAAAUCUGCGCAUGGGGGCGAAAGACUAAUCGAACCAUUAACGGAGACCAGCGGUAAAUAUUUAAUUUACUAGGUGGUUAAGAGGCUUCUUGCGAGAGGAAGCCUAGGUCGGACCUACCCGGUAGCUACCC